rnacentral:rRNA from 1 species
GACAGAGGGUGCAAACGUUGCUCGGAAUCACUGGGCGUAAAGGGCGUGUAGGCGGGCAGGAAAGUCAGAUGUGAAAUCCCCAGGCUCAACCUGGGAACUGCAUUUGAAACUCCCUUUCUUGAGUGUCGGAGAGGAAAGCGGAAUUCCUGGUGUAGAGGUGAAAUUCGUAGAUAUCAGGAGGGACACCAGCGGCGAAGGCGGCUUUCUGGACGAUAACUGACGCUGAGACGCGAAAGCGUGGGGAGCAAACAGG